GCAAAAGGGACAUCAAUCCAUUCCUCUCAUUCCUAAGACUGCUAAUGCCUAGUUUUUUUCCCCAUCAUCUAGGGAGAUGAAAAAAUUGCCAAUGUCUCCAGAAACCAAGAGAAUUAUCAAAUACUAGUUGGUGGAUUUGUAUUUGAAGUUGAUUUCUGUUGAGUGAUAAAGAUGGUGUGGACUAUUUGUAACCUCUACCUGAAUGCAAAUAAUGUUUUCUCAUCAACA
rnacentral:misc_RNA from 1 species